GUCAUCUGUAUAACAAAAGAACAGGGGUAACAGUAGCUGCCGAUCUACAUGGUGACAGUAGCUGGUUACAUGUACACCGUCCGAUUCGGCGGGCUCAUCCGAUCAGAGACGUUCGUGCCCCCAUCCUCCCCCAGUAGCCAGAAGCUACUCUCGAACCCUAAUCCCUCUCCUCUUCCCACGAGGAGCCGCCGCCGCCGCCACCGCCACCGUCUUCCCCUCGAGCUCGUGAAGCCGGAGCCGCCGCCUUCUUCUCAAGCUCGCGGAGCCAGCCGUCGCCGCCGCCGUGCGGAGCCAGUGGUUACCGUCGCUGUCUUCCCAUCGACUUCUUGCGAGUCCGGUGUCCCACUGUCGCCGCCAUUUCCGUCUCCUUCCCCAUCCCACGCAGACUUUGGUUCUUGCAAGAUCUGUGCCCGCAUCGAGCCCCCACAAGCACGCGGUAAUCAGAAGGUGAAGCUCGACGUGGGCCUGCAGAUAUUUUUGGAAGCACAAACGAAAGGAUCACGUAUGUAUGUCAUGUUUGCUGAUUACUACCUUUCCCUGCAAAUACACAUACACCACUUGGAUGUAGAUACACAUUCUGUCUUGCUUAACAUGUUAAUUAACUUGAUUGAGUAAAUGAUUUUUGCAGUGAUUGGCCGAUAUCCCAAAGUAAAAUCAAUAAGUGACUCAAGGUAAUUCAUUAGUGUUUUAUGUCUAUAUAUGAUCAUAAAAGUGUCUGCAGGGUGCAUCAGACAAGCAAAAAGUAUAUGGGCAGUGAUGGCACAUUUCUUAGGGAAGGGAUUUAUGAGUUCAACGGCAAAAUCCUCUCUAUCAGUCCAUAUAGUAGCAGUUGCCUAGCAUUUUUAACUUACCUACAUUGCUCCCCUAUUUUUAGCUACAUAAGAACUAUAUGUAUGUCACCC
rnacentral:lncRNA from 1 species